GGGGUUGUGGCUCAGUCGGUAGAGUGUUUGCCUUGCAUGUGUAAGGCACUGGGUUCAAUCCUCAGCAUCACAA
rnacentral:tRNA from 1 species